UAUCACAACAGUUUCAUUGGAGGAGACAUUCAUGCUGAAACUUGACGAGUACACACCAGGUCUUUUGCGGCUUAUGCGUGACCAAAGGAGGAGCUGCUGGUUCCAAGAAGAGAGCUCUGCUGGACACUUUAAAUAACGAAUGUGAGGAAAACAGACAAAACGAUGAAGGUGAUCGUGAUGCACAACGCCAUGGCUGAGGAGGACCCAUCACAUGUGUCUAUUGUGAUGGAGGGAAACAGAACAAAGGCAUGUGUGCUGCUGAUGGGGCUGAUAUAUGCCCUCAACCUUGAAUAUCCGAAGCAGCUGAAGAACACAUUUGAAGCUUUUCAAAAAAAUUUUUUGGAACUCGACGGGACAAAACUUCUGAAAAAAAGGUACACAGCCUCAAAAAUAUGCUCAUGCAAUAAACACACAUUCCACCCCAUCUUCCAGGUGAAUCUUUUGACAGUUAGAGUCGUAAUGUAGUGUAGUUUUUUAUUUGAUUUCUCUUCCAUCCUCCGCUACAGACACAAAAACAACCUUGUAGAGUUUGUGUGUGCGCGCUUUUUGCCUUAGAAAACAUAAGUGGCAUCUUAAAGUUUUGUUUGCAUUAGUCAGUUAUCCAGAAACAUUACAAGCUGUAAAUGAUGUUAGUGACUUAUUAAACAGGUCAGUUCAUUGAAAUAUUGUGUGAAAGUGUUGUACUGCACUUUAAUUUGUUUUCUUUGAUAAUUUAGGGCAAGAUUGCUGCAAGACUGUUGGAGUAUUUGUUGUAUAAAUGCACCUGUACUGCAGAUAUUUUUAGUCACUGUUAUGGAAAGCUGAAUAGACACACAAGUAAGAUUUUAGAGAACUUCUUUAUGUGAUCGGACAUCCCUUGGAGCUCUGAUAUUGAUCUCACUUAUUUCAUUUUCUAAUCUCGUCUCUUCUCCUCAAUUCUUAUGUCCUAAAACAGGGAUAUGUUUUGCUGCACUUUAUUCUGUGUUUUUGUGGAAUAAAACCAUUGAGAUUAUGUA